rnacentral:rRNA from 1 species
UGGGGAAUAUUGCACAAUGGGCGCAAGCCUGAUGCAGCGACGCCGCGUGCGGGAUGACGGCCUUCGGGUUGUAAACCGCUUUCAGCAGGGAAGAAGCGCAAGUGACGGUACCUGCAGAAGAAGCGCCGGCUAACUACGUGCCAGCAGCCGCGGUAAUACGUAGGGCGCAAGCGUUGUCCGGAAUUAUUGGGCGUAAAGAGCUCGUAGGCGGUUUGUCGCGUCUGCUGUGAAAACCUCAGGCUCAACCUGGGGCUUGCAGUGGGUACGGGCAGACUAGAGUGCGGUAGGGGUGACUGGAAUUCCUGGUGUAGCGGUGGAAUGCGCAGAUAUCAGGAGGAACACCGAUGGCGAAGGCAGGUCACUGGGCCGCAACUGACGCUGAGGAGCGAAAGCAUGGGGAGCGAACAGGAUUAGAUACCCUGGUAGUCCAUGCCGUAAACGUUGGGCACGUA